rnacentral:rRNA from 1 species
GACGAACGCUGGCGGCGUGCUUAACACAUGCAAGUCGAACGAAGAGCGACGGAAGCUUGCUUCUAUCAAUCUUAGUGGCGCACGGGUGAGUAACGCGUAAUCAACCUGCCCUUCAGAGGGGGACAACAGUUGGAAACGACUGCUAAUACCGCAUACGAUCUAAUCUCGGCAUCGAGGAUGGAUGAAAGGUGGCCUCUACAUGUAAGCUAUCACUGAAGGAGGGGAUUGCGUUUGAUUAGCUAGUUGGUGGGGUAACGGCCCACCAAGGCGAUGAUCAGUAGCCGGUCUGAGAGGAUGAACGGCCACAUUGGGACUGAGACACGGCCCAGACUCCUACGGGAGGCAGCAGUGGGGAAUCUUCCGCAAUGGACGAAAGUCUGACGGAGCAACGCCGCGUGAGUGAUGACGGCCUUCGGGUUGUAAAGCUCUGGUAAUCGGGACGAAAGGCCUUCUUGCGAAUAGUGAGAAGGAUUGACGGUACCGGAAUAGAAAGCCACGGCUAACUACGUG